rnacentral:rRNA from 1 species
CCCGAUGGGAUUAGCUAGUAGGUGGGGUAACGGCUCACCUAGGCGACAAUCCCUAGCUGGUCUGAGAGGAUGACCAGCCACACUGGAACUGAGACACGGUCCAGACUCCUACGGGAGGCAGCAGUGGGGAAUAUUGCACAAUGGGCGCAAGCCUGAUGCAGCCAUGCCGCGUGUAUGAAGAAGGCCUUCGGGUUGUAAAGUACUUUCAGCGGGGAGGAAGGUGUUGAGGUUAAUAACCUCAGCAAUUGACGUUACCCGCACAAAAAACACCGGCUAACUCCGUGCCACCAGCCGCGGUAAUACAGAGGGUGCAAGCGUUAAUCGGAAUUACUGGGCGUAAAGCGCACGCACGCGGUCUGUCAAGUCGGAUGUGAAAUCCCCCGGGCUCAACCCUGGGAACUGCAUUCGAAACUGGGCUAUAGUCUUGUAUAGGGGGGAGAAUUCCAGGUGUAGCGGUGAAAUGCGUAGAGAUCUGGAGGAAUACCGGUGGCGAAAGCGGCCCCCUGGACAAGACUGACGCUCUGUGCGAAAGCGUGGGGA